CUAAUCACUUAAAGUGAAUAGUAACUCCGAUUUUCCGGCGAAGCCAAUGAGUGGAGAAGGCUUCCGGUGCGUAUUGGACUCCGUUCAUAGCAAUCCAAUAGCUCAUUUUGAACGGUUCGACUAUUCUGAAACCUAUGGCACUGAUGGAUUUGGGUUCUGAUGCACGGUUUUUGAGAAAAAGGGGUUUGAUUGGAUUUAGAUAUAUAUAUAUAUAUAUAUAUAUAUAUAUAUAUAUAUAUAUAUAUAUAUAUAUAUAUAUAUAUAUAUACCAAAAUNNNNNNNNNNNNNNNNNUAUAUAUAUAUAAGUAUGAUGAUUGGUGGAUUGCAGAGAGGGCUGGGUUCGUCGUAAAUCGAAGACCAAAUCGGAUGAAAUUAGAUUCGAUGUCCCAGCCAUGCUGAACACGCUGGCGCAAUCCGUUCGGAAAUCCGACCAACGGAUCUUCGGGAAUCGUAAAAUGUUCGCUAAGGGGUCGAAAUCAUUAAAACGGAAAAAUUGCGAAAGGUCCAAUAUUUUAUGCGCCGUUUUGCGUGAUUUUGAACGUCGAGGUACGUACGCGCAUAUUACACGCACUGGCAGGGACUGGGUUGAGAUUUUACAGUUUCGGAGGACUAAACUGUAAUUAAACCUUUAUAUAUAAAUGAUUGCAUCUAGGGUUUCAUAAAGAAACCCUAGCUCCUGGAUCCCCUCCUCAGCUGAGCUAACCCUAGCCGCCCCACCUCCUCCGAGCCCUCGCUAUGCGCGCGCGCCGGCCGCCAGCAAGCUGCUCCGGCCGCCUGAAAAUCACCCCGACCUCUCACCUAGCUCCUCCCUCCACCUUGCAGCCACCACAUCAUCUGACAGCCACGGAGAACCACCCUCGUGUGUCACAGCCUUCCCCUUGGCCAAGAUCCCUCUUCGGUGCCGUCACCGGCCGUCCCCGCCAUCAGCGCGCGCCGCCUGAGCCACCUGUGCGAGCUGCGGCCAGCCUGGGUCAGCUCGGGCCGAGCUGACUUCAGCUCGGGGCCCGUUUGUUGAAGCCACCUUAUCUCGGCCGCCACGACUCCCUCCGGCCUCUAGCAACCUCCGGCACGCUUCCCUGCCGUCCCCACGCACCGCCGGCCAUCGCUCGUGCACCCUACAACCGCCCAGAUUUGGUGCAGGCCGAGGCGGAGCUACCUCGGCCAUCGCGUGUCGUCGCCGCCCACAGCGGGGCGCACCACCCUUCCCUCGGCCUCCGGCGACGGAUCGUCGUCGCCCUGAUCUCGUCCGACCGCCGCCCGGCCGCCAUCGCCCUUGAACCCGAGAGCUAAGUGGCGGCUUUGAUCUCUGCCACCGCGCCACCGGUUGCCGCCCGCCGCCGGCCAGCACCCUCCCCGGACCUCUCGGACCGGCCGCACACGCCCUCGGUCGGAGCGACUGCCAUCCGGCCGCCGGCGACCAACCCUAGCUCCCACUGCUCUGGUAAGGCUAUUACGUAAAUUCCAGCACACUGUUUUGGGUUUCCGGUCACCUUUUCGGUGAUCCGAGGGCACCCCGAUGACUGUGGAAAUGAGCACGAUCAUCCUUGUUUCGUGCUGAACAUCGUGCUCACCUCCGUUGGGGUCAACGAUGCCCUGGUUUGCGAGUUUGAUGCGAUUUAAGCGCUGUACGCGCUGUUUCGCUGUAGUUCGCAUCACUCGCGCACCGCCCACAGUGACCGGCAGUGCUCUGAAGGGUGAGCACGGCCUCCGGCACACCGAGACCUGUCAGCAGGUGUCUCGGCUUGGCUGAAUGACCCAUGGUUUGCGCUGUUAGACCAUAAAAGCCCAGAAAUCACAUAAAAUAAUAUGAUUUCAUGGAAUCGGGAGGGCUUUUAUGCAAUUGUGUUUGUCAUGGCUGCUGUAGCCAGCGUGUGCGGGCAGUGGGUAACCUAUAGACUGAUUGUCCAAGGCCCUAGGCCUUUGUGGAAAUCGAAAAGUGAUUUUCGGUGCAUUUUUCGGCGAAAUCCGCCGACGGAAUACUUUUUCAGUUUGGAAUUCUUCCGACGGUGCUUCGUGAUGCUUUGUUAUGUCGCCGAGCCUUGUUGGCCGGUCAACCGCGUCGUUUCGAGGGUUCGGAAAUGACGGGUGAGCGAUUGUCGGUUGCGGUGUCGAAUUGGGCACUUUCGGGAACCCGGAUUGGAAUGAUUAUUCGACGAUAAUCGUUUCGGAGUGAGUUAGUGUCUUCGCUGCCAAGUCACACGAAAAUAUGUAUUUAGUGGCAGCGGGUGACUCGUAUCUUGAGUCGGUGAGUCUCGGGACAGUUCGUGGAUCUCGGCGGAGUCCCGGUGCUGUUUUCGGGACUUCCGGCGUGUUUGGCAAUUGGUUUUGGAAAAUCGAUUCUCGUGGGUUCGAUAGUGGGGAUUGUGAGUUAGCGUUUUGUGCUAGUGGGUUAGAUUCUAACCCGGUGGACCCUUCGUAGGUCAGGUUGGCAUUUCUUCCGCAGACGGAAGAUUCGUACCGUAUUUGUAUAGGUGGGUACUUCGAUCUAAAGUCGGUACAGUGGUGCACGCUCGGUGAUAUCCUCUUACCUUUGUUCUCCCGUUGUUAUUAUUGCAUACCAUAUAUUUAGCCUUACACUUAUGUUGUUUUCAUUGUACUCUACUCAGUUGUUUUCAUAUUUAGUAUCAUGAGUAGGAGUAGAGUGGUUUUAUCUACAUGUGAUAUCUGUGACCUAGUUGGUCGGUUCUCGUACUUCGUAUUAGUGACCUGGUAGGUCGGUUCUCGUACUUCGUAUAAGUGACCUGGUUGGUCGAUUCUCAUACUUCGUAUCAGUGACCUGGUUGGUCGGUUCUCGUACUUCGCAUCAGUGACCUUGUUGGUCGGUUGAACUUUUUGAUGACCUAUACGGUCAGUGUGCCCUGAGGAGGCAGGAUUGUCGGCUGGUUGCCGACGGUUGGCUAUUGAGCAUGCAGCAUCGAUCGCCACUGCUCAUACGCAUUUUACGAACACCAGCGGUCUGAUCCGCCGCAAGAAGUUAUUCUUUUUCGGAAAAGUGGUUGGGAGUGCCAACCCGUGAGCCCGGGUGCUUUAUGCGACAGUUAUAUGCUUUCAGACCCGGGUUGUUUAUGCGAGGGUCAUAUACCUUUCAGACCCGAGUGCUUUAUGCAAGGGUCACGUAUAGGUUGAGCAGUUGUGACACAGGCCUGAGGUGUUGCCGACCAAUAUGGUUAUUCCAGAUUGGGUAUUUUGGACUCAUUGUCCGUUGAUGCAUUCAUACAGUAGCGGUAGCUGUGCAUUUCUUUAUCAUGUUCAUUUAUUAUCAUUGCUACUGUAUUUCACUUAUCCAUGUUGUUUACCCUCCUUUUCUGGUGCGUACCCUCGUCCUCGUCGGCUUGCGGUAUCCACUGGGAGGGGAGACAUGUUUACAUAUUCUCACCCCCACCCCCAUUACAGGUGACGUCGCUGGUCCGAGUGGGACGGCACGUGAGGAGCACGCUAGUGAUCAUUAGAGCCAUCGUCCCGCCAUUUUGGUUUAUCAUCUUACUCUGCUUCUCUCUAAAUAAAUGACUUAGACAAUUAUUAUGGUUCAGUUUUGUCAUUACAUUUGAAUAUGUGAGAUUUCAGUUGGUUUUAUGAAGGUAAUAACGUAUUUGGAUUUCUGUGAAAUGAAAAUAGUUUUCUACCCCUCGUGGUAGCGUAUUUUCAGAAAGAAAAGGGUUUCCGCGUGGGAAACAGUUUUAAAAGAUUUUCUUAUGGUUUUUGUAUCUUAGUAUUUCAAAACCAGUUUUGGGGUAGGAAACGUUUUAACUAAUAGAUGUGGAUUUAUGAUUAAACACUGAAUGUGAAUAUGUGAUGAAUGGUGUAUGAAUGUAUGAAUGUAUAAUUGUUUGUAUAUUCAUUUAGUGGUGGUUGUAUCCUGGUUAUACAUCUUGUAUUUGUGCGACGCCGUGCAAAUACAGGGGAGACUCUAUCAGUGUGAACAGUGGACUCCUUGUAUUUGUGGCAGAUCUGGCAUACCCUGGGGUCAGGUUUUCAAAAAAAAAUUUAGGUACUUCCGCUAUGUUUUGAAACCAAAAAGGGAUCCCGGGGCGUGACUCCACUGCCCAAAAUGCUUAAGUUGGAUUAAGAGUUUUACCCCUAUUAUAUCUUAUAUAUAAGACUAUCUGGGGUCUCAUAAAACGGCUUUAGAGGUUGGAAUGGGAGAACCUGGGAUCAGUCGACCUGAUGAUCCUGCCACCAACGCCUUGGGAUUGGGAAUAGUUCUGAUACCAAUUUGUCGCAACCAAGACUCGUCGCAACCCGUAGAUGACGAUACUUUGCUUUAGCGAGGAUGGCGCAGGGAUGAUGGGUUACCCUAUCAGCCUAAUCCAUCCCUUUCCUAUCCCGAAAUCACCAUGAAUGGAGGUUCGGAGGUAGGAAAAAAGAAAGAGUAAAGGAGAGAAUGGAAGAAAAGAGUAGAAGAAAGAUAGAGAAGAAGAAGAAAAUGGAGAGGGGGAGUUGAAAAUAUAUUCUGUUACUAGCUAGUUAUUGCAAUUGUAACCCCUAUUUAUAGCCCAAUGCUAGGGCGUGUUGUAAAUUCCAACAAGUUUGAGGGGAAUUUGUAAACACACCCCUUGACUGGUCCUUGACCAAUCCAAUGAGGCGGUUGGGAUUGUUAUGGCCGGUACCCGCCUCUCGCAUGGGCCUGGGCUGUGCGAUCCCAGCGUAGUGGACUCGGAUUUGUAUUGGGUGCGGGUGGGAAACUAUGGACCUACCCCUCUUCUACCUUAUAUUUGCGAAGCUUCCUGAGGCCACCCUGUGCUUUACCUAACCCUCAAGAACUCCGCUCUCUCAGGCUUAUCCCAAGUCGUGACUUUCACCGUUCUAGAUUCUUCAGAUGCCUAUGCCCCCUGCCGGAGAUCGGAUGGCUAGCCACCGGAUUUUGAAUCACUGAGAAGCUAAGUACCUGUUUUAACCUCCCCUUCCACUUUAAUAACUUGCCAACUCAUACUUUCUAUAGGUGUUACACAGGUGUUAAGGCUUGAUGUUGUUUUAUACACUUUUCUAAUUUUUUACUAUUUUACGUUUAUGUAAGUAUUAUCACAAAUUAUUUAUGUAUUAUGAUAGCUUUAUUUAUUCACCACAAAGAGCUGGUUAACAGAAAUAUCCAAAAAUAGAAAAAUUAAGAGACGUGAAACUUUCAUUUGUUUUUUACAUAUUUUUGCAAAAGUUGCCUCUCGCCCAAAAAAAAACAUACAAAUAGAGAUUUGAAUUCUGGUGUGCUGCAUAGAAUUUCGAGUUUUAAACGGAUAACCGACUACUUGAACAAAAGGUGCACAAUAUCCAAAUGUAUGUGAGACCCACUCACAACUGUUACGCUCAUUAAAAAUAAAGUAGUUCAUUUAAUUAUAAGCAACUAAAAAGUAUCUAUACUACUUAUAAAAGUGUGAGUUUUAAAUUUUUUUCUUUUUUAAAAAAUAUUUUUAUUUUUUAACUAAUAUUUUCAUGUCCAAUAAUUUUCAACCAUUCAUUUCAAAUAAUUCUUCAAAUAAUAAUUUAUUCUCAAAUAUACAUCUUAAGUUUUUGCCAUUGGAUCUAAUCCAACAAGUAAAAAAGUAUCGGUCAUCUUUGUUGACAAAAGUACCCUCAAUAUCUGUUAUCUCUUAUCUACGUGUUUCUCAAAUAUUUUCUUUCUACCUGCCAAUCACAUAUUAUGUAAAAUUAAAUUUAUCUCCUAACGUAAUACCCGCCAAUAACGUAAUAUGUAAAAUUAAAUUUAUCCCCUAUCUACGUGUUUUCUCAAAUAUUUUUUUUCUAGAAUAUUGCUUUUCUAAAACGUAAUAUUUGCCAAUAUUACAUAGUACUCAAAAUUAAAUUUUAAAUUUUAAAUUAAGUAUAAAUUAAAUUAAAUUUACCUCCUAACUAAAUAACCGCCAAUCACGUAAUACGUAAAAUUAAAUUUAUUUCUUUUCUACGCAUUUUCUCAAAUAUUUUUUUCUCAAAUGUAAUACCUGUAAAUGACGUAGUACUCAAAAUUAUAUAUUAAAUUUUGAAUUAAGUAUAAAUUAAAUCUACUAUAUAUACUAUCUGCAUCUUUUCUAGAAUAUUGCUUUUCUAAAAUGUAAUACGUGCCAAUAUUACAUAGUACUCUAAAUUAAAUAUACCAUUUACACAUUUUUCAAAUAUUUCCUUUCUAACAUACCCGCCAAUAAUUUAAUACCCGCCAAUGUGAUAAUUUAAAUUUUAAUUUAUAAUAGUAGAUUUUCAUACGUGAGAUAGUAAAUUUAAUUGCAGUGGGUAUUAAAUUUUGACGUGCCACAAAAAAUUAGAAUAUUGCUAAAAAAAUUUAAUACCCACCCAAUCAAAAUUAAAUUAUUCAUUAAAUAUAAUUUUAAAUUUUUUAAGUAAAAUAUCAAUAUUUAACUAAUAUUCUUCAAAAUAUUCUACGCAUUUCUCAAAUAUAGAACAUAUCUUAAAGCCCUCGCAUAUAAUAUCUACACUACCCAAUCCUAUCUCAGCAUAAUACUUUCCACACAUAGAGUAUAUCAUUUUCCUCAUUUUCAUCUAUACGUUUCUCAAAUGUAAAAUAAUUUUUUUUUUUCAUUUUCACCUAUAUUUUUUUUUUCAAAUCAUUAUUGUCCUCAUCGUCAUCGCAGGCGCCAGCACAUCGUCGCUUUCGCCACCUUCGCCACAGUUGGAGAGGUUUUUUGAUCCUACCUAAAAAUUUUUCUUUUUUUAAUGUGCCUUUAUACUUUUUUAGUAUAUUUUUUUAGUAUUUUCUCAUUUUUACCUAUACAUUUCUCGAAUAUAAAGUUUAAAUAUUUUUUUAGUAAUUAGAUAGUGUAUCAAUAAAAUUAUGUUAAUUUGAAAUAAUAUUGAAGUAAUUAUUGAUAGACCUAUUUUUUAGCAUUAAAGAAUAUAGCAUUCCUUUUGCAAAAAUAGAAAAAGAAAUUCAUACUUAUUCAAAUUUUUUUCACGUAGAGAAUAUCUACAACAGAAUAUUCUUGUCACGCCCCUGGGUCCUUUUAGUUUGAAACACAGCGGAAAAGCGUCAAUUUUUUUUUUUUUUUUUUUUUAAAAGCCUAACCCCAGGGUAUGCCAGAUCCACCACAAAUACAGGAAUUCCACUAUUCACACGGACAGAAUCUCCCCUGUAUUUGCACGGCGUCGCACAAGUACAAGAGUACAAACAUAAUACAACAACAACUAAAUGAACAUACAAACAUCCAACAGUUUUAUAUUCAUACACCAUUCACCACAGGUUCAUUCACAUAGUCUUAAUCAUGAAUCCACAUCUAUCAGUUAAAAUGAUUCCUAUCCGGAAACUGGUUUUGAAAUACUAAGUUACAAAAACCACGAGAAAGCUGUUUGAAAGCCGUUAUUCAUAAGGAAAAUCUUUUCUUUUAAAACAUGCUAUCACGAGGGAUAGAAAACCUUUCCAUUUCAUGAAAAUCCAAAAAUCAUUGUCUCAUUCAGAAAACCAACUGAAAUCUUGAAUAUUUUAACAUAAUGAAAUACUGAACCAUAUAAACCGACUAAGCUAUAUAUCAAUAGAAAUAAUAAGGGUAAAAACUAAACCGAAUAAUCUGGGUCGGAAGCUCUAUCGACCGCUACGAACGUACCUCACGUCUCGUCUCAACCUCACCGCCCGCAAUACCUGAAAAAUGGUGGGCGAUGUGAGAACAUGUAAACAUGUCUUCCCUCCCAGUGGGUAGCGCAAGCCGAUGAAGGCGAGGAGUACUCACCGGAUCAGGAAGAGAUAAACAACAAUAUGGGUAAGUGUAAUACUAAAUACAGUAGCAACAAUAAUGAACGAAAGAGAUAGAACUAUAAAUGAAAGCACAACUACCGCUACUGUAAUGAACAACUGAAAGUAUAUAUGCAGCUAAACUAUAGUAGCAAGACAAGUGUAAAGAAAGAACUGAAGGUAUACAAACAACAACCGCUACUAUAGUUAUAUGCGUCAAUCGGUCAAGAAGUCCAAAUAUACCCAAUCUGAAAUCUGCUGUUCUAUUGGUCCGCAGCGCAAACCUCAAGCCUAUGCCACUACUACUCUCCCAUGCAUAUAACCCCUCUAGGGCUCACGGGUUGACACCUACAACCACUUUUCCGGAAAAGAACACUCCUUGCGGUGGUCAUCCACUGCUCACCCAUGCUGCCAACAGCAGCCGCAACAACCCAGAAUACAUAAAAGCCCUCCCGAUUACCCGAAAUCGCAUUAUUUCAUGCGAUUUCGACGCUUUUAUGGUCCGUCUACACAAACCAGAAGUCAAUCAUCCAAACCGAGACACCCGCUGACAGGUCUCGGUGUGAUGGAGGCCAUGCUCACCUUUUGGAGCAAUUUCGGCCACUGCGGCAAGAGCGCGAGCGACACGAACUUCAGCGAAACUGCGCGCUGAAACUAAAAAUGCUUCAAAUUCACUCAUCCGGGGGUCUUUGACCUUAAAUGAGGUGAGCACUGUGAUCAACACUGACCGACGAUCACCGUGCUCACCUCCGGAGGCAUCAGAACAGCCUCAGGUCGCCGGAACAUUGAUCCCAAACCGAAACAAUGCACAGAACAACAAAAACAUUGCUUACCGGCCGGGGCAGAGCUAGGGCUGGCCGGCGGCGGCCGGAUGGCGGGCGCUCCGGCCGAGGACGAGCGCGGCCGGUCAAUGGGGUCCAGGGCAGGUGCUGGCCAGCGGCGGGAGGCGGCCGGUGGCGCGGCGGCUGCGAUCCAAUCCGCCAAGUUGCUCUCGGGUUCAAGGGCGCCGGCGGCAAGGCGACGGCCGGAGGAGGUCAGGGCGACGUCAAUCCGUCGGCGGAGGCCGAGGGUAUCAUGAUACGCCCCUCCGUGGGCGGCGGCGUCGUGCGGUGGCCGAGGUGGCUCGGCCUAGGCCCGCACCAGCUCUGGACAGCCGCAGAGUGGAAGAGCGGCGGCCGACGGCUUCGGGGACGUCCGUGGAUGAACGCCGGAGGUCGCCGGAGGUGUCUGGAGGGCGGCACUGCCGGCGGGGAGCAGCGGCACCGCGCGGAUGCCGAGAUCACCCAAGCUCGGUCUGGGUGAUCGCGGUUGGCCGCAAGGAGCUAGGGCGGCUCCGUCGGCGCUUUGGGACGGCGGGGCCGCGGGCGACGGCGAGCGGGAUGUCGCCAGAAGGCGGCGCGGCCGAUGGGGGCCGGUAGCCGCACACGAAACCCGAGAUCGAGCCUGCUCGGUCUGGGCUGACCCGAGCUGGCUGCAGCUUGCUCAGCUGGCUCCAGCGGCACGUGCUGACGACGGAAACGUCCGGUGAUGGUACCGGACGUUGGUCUCGGCCAGGGGAUGGUGACGCUCUGACUUAGAUGACUCCUUGAGACCCCAACCACAACGUGGUGGAGUGGUUGGCCGAACGGGAGGGAGAGGGUAGUGCGGAAGGGUUUUCCGGUGGUCGGAGAGGCUUGCCGGCGGUCAGGGCGCGCGCACGGUUGGGCAGGGAUGCAGGUGGGGCGGCUAGGGUUCAGUUCGGCUAAAGAGAAGGCCAAAAGCUAGGGUUUCCUCAUGAAACCCUAGUGCAACUACUAUAUACAUAUGUACAUUUUGCAAGAUAGUCCUCCCAGGGAUAAUAUUCUCAGUCAAGUCCUUCACAGCUCACGUAUUUUACACAUACGCACCUCCACGUCCGAUCUCACGCGAUUCGGCACAUAAAAUAUAGGGUCUCUUCGUGAUUUAUCCGUUUUGCCAAUUUGACCCCUCAGUGGACCUUUCGCGUUUCCCAUAGAUCCGUCCGUCAGAUUUGCGAACGGAUCGCACUAGUGCGAUCAGCACAACGGAGACAAUAAACCUACGAUUUUGAUUCACAUCGAUCGGUCAUGGAUUCGCGACGAAACCUGUCCGCUCUCCAAUUUCCAAAAAACCACACACAUAUACCAAUGUGUAAUCCCACUAAAUCCUAGAUUCAAAUUCAAAUUUGAAUCUCCUACUACUAGUAGGUACAUGUAACAUCACUCACCUUACUCUAGGUCACAUACGCAGAGCACGAGGAGUCUCAUUAUGCAAGAACAGCAAAGAGCGAAAACCCUCUUUUCGAUAAAAUCCCUUUUUCUCGAAAAUCGUGCAUCAGAUCUGAAAUCCGUCAGUGCCAUUGGUUCCAGAAUAGCUGAACUGGUCGAAACGAGCUAUUGGAUCGCUAUGAACGGAGUCCGAUACGCGCCGAAAGCCAACUCUACUCUGUGGCUUCUCCGAAAAAUCAGAGUUACUAUUCAUUUAAGUAAAAACUAAAAAUCGCGUAUCUUCUCCAUUUUAGCUCAUUUUCUCCUGAAACUUUACGAGUGCUUAUAUAAUUAAAUUACACAUAGGAACAUCAUCAACAGAGAGUCUAAUUACAUUGCCAAAAUCUCAGUCCUUACAUUAUCCCCCCUUUAAAUGAAGUUUCGUCCCCGAAACUUGACCACGUACCCACCGAAAUAGAAUUCAGAUAUUACUCCACCACUACAAUAUCACCCUUGA
rnacentral:lncRNA from 1 species